UGUUAAUUGACAUUGGCUGCUGCUCUGGGUCAGUUUGACCACCUUGUUCUACAUAUCCUUUUACUUUAUGGGGUAAGUAUUUAUCUCAAAGGUUGAGUGCAGUUAAAGAGUUUGUAAGCCAAAGACUAUUUUAAAUAGAGAGUUAUAAUUUUGGAGCCUUCAUUCCCUCCUUAAAAAAUUGUUUCUAUUUAUCCUCUUUCAUUAUAACAAAUUUGCAAUAACCAUUAUAUCCCCAAAUUAAAACUCUCUAUGCUUUCUUAGAAAAGAGUAUUUUUGAAUUAUCUUUUGAUAAUUGUCUGAACUCCUUCAAACCAGUCAAAUGUUGCAAUUAAUUUUGAUGAUUUUGGAAGAGAUUUUUUACAUUACUGUUAUUUUGUGGUUUGAUUAUAACUGAUUGCAUUAGAUAUAUGCUCAAUAAAUACUACCUGAGGUAAAGAGUUCUGUAAUAAUUGUGACCAACGGUCAAACUUUUAUUAGCAUAGACUUUGUUUUAACAGGUGUAUUUUUUAUAAUUGUCCUGUAAUGAACCGUGCACAUUUAAAGCAUAUAGUACGAUAAACUUUGACAUAUGUACAGACCCAUGAAACCAUCCCUCCCGUCAAGAUAAAGAACAUAUUCAUCACCUGCCAAUUUGCUUAUGUUCCUUUGUAAUCCCUCCUUCCCAUCUCUCCCCAUCUGUCCCUCACCCCAAUCCCCAGACAAGCACUGGUCUGCUUUUGCAUUUUCUAGGAUUUUAUAUAAAUAGAACCAUACAUUAUAAAUUCUUGCUUGGCUGGCUUAUUUUAUGCAGCAAAAUCAUUUUGAUAUCAAUCCGUUUGAAAUGUGCAUCAAUAUUUUACUCCUUUUUGUUGCUGUGUGAUCACUUGAUAACAGUUCGCCCAUUUACCUGUUGAUGGACAUUUGGAUUGUUUCCGCUUUGGGGUUAUUAAAAAUAAAGCUGCUAUGGAUAUUCAUAAACAGGUCUUUGUAUGCUUAGGCACUUUCAUUUAUCUUGGGUAAAUACCCAGGAACAGAAUGGCUGAAUCACAUGUUAGGCGUGUGUUUAACUUUUUUUAGCAAACAGUUGAACCUGUCUUCCAAAAUGUUUGUACCACUUUGCAUUCCCACCAGUCCGGUGUGAGAGUUCUAGGUUUUCUGCAUCCUCGCCAACACUUGGUACGGCCAGACAGCUUUCACUUUCGCCUUUCGAAUAUGUGUGUAAGUGAUAUUUCUAUAUAAUUUAAUUUGCGUUUCUCUAGUGACUAAUAGUAUUGAGAACUUUUUCAUGUGCUUAUUUGGCAUCUGAUAUUUUAUUUGCCAAGUUGUCUGUUCAAAUAUAUUGCCCAUUUUUAAAUUGGCUUUUUUGGCCAGUUUAUAGUAAGUUUGAGAAUUCUUUAUAUAUUUUGGAUCCAAAUUAUAUCACAAAUAGAUAAUUUACAAAUAUUUCCUCCCACUCCGUAGUUUAUAUUUUCAUCCUUUUAACAAGGCCUUUUGAGAGUUUAUUUUGUUUCGGUUUAAUAGACUAGGAUGUGGUUUAUCUUGCUAUAUGCUCCUUAGACACUUGAAAAGAAUAUAUUUUCUGCUAUCGUUGGGUGGAGUGCUCUCUAAAUGGCAGUCAGAUCCUAUUGGUUGAAACUUCCGUUGAGUCCGACUUCGGCUCAGGUCAUGAUCUCACGGUCCGUGAGUUCGAGCCCCGCGUCGGGCUCUGUGCUGACAGCUCAGAGCCUGGAGCCUGUUUCAGACUCUGUGUCUCCCUCUCUCUAACCCUCCCCUGUUCAUGCUCUGUCUCUCUCGGUCUCAAAAAUAAAUAAAUGUUAAAAAAAAAUUAAAAAAAAAAAAGAAACUUCUGUUGAAUACUACAUCUUUGCCAAUUUGCUCUCCAGGUAUUCUGUCGAUUAUUGAGCAAGGGAUGUUGAAGUAUCCCGGAAUAACAAUGGAUUUGGUUUUUUGUCCUCCCAAUUGCAUCAGUUUUGCUUCACCUAUUUUGCUGCUCUGUUGGUUGGUGCACACACAUUUAGGAUUGCUAUGUCUUUUUGUAGAUUGACUCUCUUAUCAAUAGAAUGUCCUUCUCUGGCUCUAGUAAUAUUCUUUGCUCUGAAGUCUACUUGAAUUCAUACUAAUGUGGUCACUCUUUCACGUGAUUAAUGUUUUCAUGGUCUACCCAUUUAUUCUUUUGUUCUCAACUUGCCUACAUCAUUAUAUUUGGAGAUUUUUAUAGUCUGCUUAUAGUUGGGUCAUGUUUUUAAAUCCACUUUGCCACUUUUUGCCUUUUAAUUGGCAUAUGUAGACCACUUACACUUACUAUAAUUAUUUAUAUCUCAGGGCUUAAGUCUGCCGUUAUGUGUCUUGUCUGUUCCUUUACUCUGUUUUUCACGUCCCUGUUUUUGCUUUCUUACCUUCCUGGGGGUCACUUGAACAUUUUUUUAGAACUCCAUUUGUAUUUAUCUGUAGUCUUUUUGAGUGCAUUUCUUUGGAUAGUAGUAUUUUUUUGGGUUGCUCUAGGUAUCACGUUGUAUAUGCAUAGUUUAUCUCAGUCUACUGACAUCAACAUUUACUAGUUUGUGUGACGUAUGGCCACUUUAUUACUCUUUAUUUUUCUUUACCAUUCUCCAUUUAUAAUUGUCUUAAAUAUUUCCUCUACAUAGGUUGAGAACCAUAUCAAACAAUGUUAAAAUUUUUGCUGCAACUAUCGAACAUAAUUUAGAAAUCUCUAAUGGAGAAGGCAAGUCUAUUGUGUUUACUCAUAUGUGUGCCUCCCAUGUCCAUUCAUCUUCUUCUCUGGUGUUCCAAGAUUCCUUCUUUUGCCACUUCUAUUCUGUUUACAGAAAUUCCUUUAGCAAUUCUUUUAGGGUAAGGCUGGUUGACAGGUUCUCUUGCUUUCCUUUAUCUGAGAAUAUACUGAUUUCCUCUUUGUUACCGAAUGGUAUCUUCGCUGAAUAUAAGAUUUUGUGUUAACGAUUCUUUUCUUUGAGCACUUGGAAAAAGUGUUGCUUCAUUUUGGCCUCCGCAGUUUCCUCUGAGAAAUCUACUGUCAUUUGAAUUGUUUUCCCCUUACAGGUAAGGCACUGCUUCUGUCUCACUGCUUGCAAGAUUCUUUAUCUUUGGUUUUCAGAAGUUUGACUGUGGUGUAUCUUAGGGUGGCUUUAGUUGAGUAAUCUUUGCUUGAGAGUUUUCUCAGCUUCUUAAACAUGUGGAUUUGUAGUUUUUGCCAAAUUUGGGAAGUUUCCAACCUCUGGUACUUCUUUUUAGCCCUGCCCUCUUUCUAUUCUUCUGGGCCUCUGAUGACAUGAAUGUUAAAUCUUUUGUUACAGUCUCACUGACCCUGAGGCUCUGUUCAUUUCUGGUUUUACUUUUCCCAGCAUAUGUCUCUCUGUUGCUCAGGUUGGGUAACUUCUAUUGUUUCAUCCUCCGGUUCAUUGAUUCUUUUGUCCUCCCCAUUCUCCUGUUGAGCCCAUCCACUGAGCCUUUAUUUCACUCAUCAUAUUUCAGUUCUAAAAUUUCCAUUCGAUUCUUUAUAUGUUGCAUUUAUUUGCUGAGACUUUGCUGAGCUACUCAAUAGUCUCAUUUGUUUCAGAUAUGUUCCUAAUUGCUCCUUGAAGCAUUUUUCUGAGGACUGCCAUAUAAUAUUUGUCAGAUAAUUCUUACAUUUCUGCCAUCCAGGUGAAGGUAUUUAUUGAUUUUCUUUUUUCUUUCAGAGAUCUUCCUGGUUCAUGGUAUGAUGAAUGAUUGGAAUUGGAACCUAGGCAUUUGAAUCUUAAUGAUUCAAUAAGACUCUGAGUCUUAUCGAAGCCUUCUGUUUUGGCUGGCUUCUGCUGACAUCUCUCUGGCAGGAGAAGGGGCUGGAUUCGAUGCCAUAUUCCCGCUCUCUGACUAACCCCCAGCCACAGCAGAAGAGCCAUGCGCCUCCACACUUGGGGCCCUUCGCUUGUGCCAGGGUGGUCUCCUUCUGCCGUUCCCGUGGCUGCGACCUCCUCAAAGAGUCCUGCCGGAUCUGCAUUUUAGACAUCCUCCCUCUGCUAAGAUUAAGUGUAUCAGUCUAUCCACCCAAAGACUCAGACCGGCACCUGGCAUACGAGAGACAGAGAGCAUGAGUGGAAACGGAGCAGAGAGAGAGGGAGAGAGAAUCCCAAGCAGGCUCCCGGCUGCCAGCACAGAGCCCAACGUGGGGCUUGAUCUCACGAGCAGUGAGAUCGUGACCCGAGCCGAAAUCGAGAGUCAGACGCUUAACUGACUGAGCCACCCAGCCAGGCACCCCAUCUGAUUUUCUUAAAUAAACCUCACCCAGGCUCUUACAGUCCUGCAUCACCUGUUUUCUAUUACUUAGCAAAAGGUACCUAAGCCAAAGUUUGUCCUCUUUUUUAACUUGCCAGCGCGCUUGCUCACAAUGUGAGAAAUCACUUCCCGAGACAUGAGAAGAGGGACAAGAGUAAAGAAAAAUUGGGUUAGAAUAACCCAGGAAACGGAUCAUUAGACUUCGUUCGAGUAAGCACUGCCUUUUAACGGAGAGAGAGGGGACAGUGCGGAAGCCCCACACCUGACAGGUGGCGAGGCUGGACUCUUCUUUGACAGAUGGUGCUCCCGUUUAUGCACAAAGUUGUCCGUCACGGCAGUCCUCGUAAGAUAUCACGUCCAAGGCCGGGGCCUGCUUUCAUAGGUUACGGAACAGCCAUUGGAUGAACUAUCAUAAAGCCAUUAGAAUGAUAGUGGCAAGGAAAUUCCAAAACAUCACACGUUCCAGUUAAGUGCAUAAACGAGGACUCUGAAUGGGAUGCGUUCACACGGUCCUUGUGCUAAAAGCCCUUGUUAAAGUUUUACUUUAUUUCGGGCACCGUUCCCAAGUGCGGACAGACAGGACUGGCUUGGAAGGGGUCAGAGACGGCACCGCGCCGCCGACCCCUGAGUCGUUCCUCCUCAUCUAAAAGCCAGGACUGGAGCCACACCGAAAUAUGAACACUGCACAUCAUCGCAGGCUUUUCUUCGUUGCCCCUCUGCAGUUUGCAAAUGUUCUGACACUUUAAAGAGAAAACGCUUUUGUUCUCUUUCAGAGUUUCCCUGGAAACUUCUAAAAGGCAGCUGCUGCGGUAUUGCACCGUCCCCUCUUCCCUCCGCAAAUGUGCAA